rnacentral:rRNA from 1 species
UGCCGCGUGCAGGAAGACUGCCUUAUGGGUUGUAAACUGCUUUUAUACAGGAAGAAACAUCCCGACGUGUCGGGACUUGACGGUACUGUAAGAAUAAGGAUCGGCUAACUCCGUGCCAGCAGCCGCGGUAAUACGGAGGAUCCAAGCGUUAUCCGGAAUCAUUGGGUUUAAAGGGUCCGUAGGCGGGCUUGUAAGUCAGUGGUGAAAGUCUGUGGCUCAACCAUAGAAUUGCCAUUGAUACUGCUAGUCUUGAAUUAUUAUGAAGUGGUUAGAAUAUGUAGUGUAGCGGUGAAAUGCUUAGAUAUUACAUGGAAUACCAAUUGCGAAGGCAGAUCACUAAUAAUAUAUUGACGCUGAGGGACGAAAGCGUGGGUAGCGAACAGGAUUAGAUACCCUGGUAGUCCACGCCGUAAACGAUGGAUACUAGCUGUUGGGCUUCGGCUCAGUGGCUAAGCGAAAGUGAUAAGUAUCCCACCUGGGGAGUACGUUCGCAAGAAUGAAACUCAAAGGAAUUGACGGGGGCCCGCACAAGCGGUGGAGCAUGUGGUUUAAUUCGAUGAUACGCGAGGAACCUUACCAGGGCUUAAAUGUAGUUUGACCGAUUUGGAAAC